rnacentral:snRNA from 1 species
UACUCGGGUUUCCUUCAGACUAUGUCAGUCUUCUGCCUGUUACUGAAGAGUUCCAUGGAGAGGAA